rnacentral:rRNA from 1 species
UACGUAGGGUGCAAGCGUUAAUCGGAAUUACUGGGCGUAAAGCGUGCGCAGGCGGUUAUGUAAGACAGUUGUGAAAUCCCCGGGCUCAACCUGGGAACUGCAUCUGUGACUGCAUAGCUAGAGUACGGUAGAGGGGAUGGAAUUCCGCGUGUAGCAGUGAAAUGCGUAGAUAUGCGGAGGAACACCGAUGGCGAAGGCAAUCCCCUGGACCUGUACUGACGCUCAUGC